rnacentral:rRNA from 1 species
AGUGAACGCUGGCGGUAGGCCUAACACAUGCAAGUCGAACGGCAGCACAGUAAGAGCUUGCUCUUACGGGUGGCGAGUGGCGGACGGGUGAGGAAUACAUCGGAAUCUACUUUUUCGUGGGGGAUAACGUAGGGAAACUUACGCUAAUACCGCAUACGACCUACGGGUGAAAGCAGGGGAUCUUCGGACCUUGCGCGAUUGAAUGAGCCGAUGUCGGAUUAGCUAGUUGGCGGGGUAAAGGCCCACCAAGGCGACGAUCCGUAGCUGGUCUGAGAGGAUGAUCAGCCACACUGGAACUGAGACACGGUCCAGACCCCUACGGGAGGCAGCAGUGGGGAAUAUUGGAAAAGGGGGGCAAGCCUGAACCAGCCAUACCGGGUGGGUGAAGAAGGCCUUCGGGUUGUAAAGCCCUUUUGUUGGGAAAAAAAAGCAGCAGGUUAAAACCCCGCUGUUUUGACGGUACCAAAAAAAUAAGCACCGGCAAACUUCGG